GUGUCAGCAGCCGCGGUAAUACGUAGGGUGCAAGCGUUAAUCGGAAUUACUGGGCGUAAAGCGUGCGCAGGCGGUUAUGCAAGACAGGUGUGAAAUCCCCGAGCUCAACUUGGGAACUGCACUUGUGACUGCAUAGCUAGAGUACGGUAGAGGGGAGUGGAAUUCCGCGUGUAGCAGUGAAAUGCGUAGAUAUGCGGAGGAACACCGAUGGCGAAGGCAGCUCCCUGGACCUGUACUGACGCUCAUGCACGAAAGCGUGGGGAGCAAACAGGAUUAGAAACCCUGGUAGUCC
rnacentral:rRNA from 1 species